rnacentral:rRNA from 1 species
GUGGAUUAGAUACCCUGGUAGUCCAUGCCGUAAACGUUGGGCGCUAGGUGUGGGGUCCAUUCCACGGAUUCCGUGCCGCAGCUAACGCAUUAAGCGCCCCGCCUGGGGAGUACGGCCGCAAGGCUAAAACUCAAAGGAAUUGACGGGGGCCCGCACAAGCGGCGGAGCAUGCGGAUUAAUUCGAUGCAACGCGAAGAACCUUACCAAGGCUUGACAUGCGCGGUGGAAUCCCAGAGAUGGGGUGUCAUUUAGUUGGUCGCGUACAGGUGGUGCAUGGCCGUCGACAGCU